rnacentral:rRNA from 1 species
CCUACGGGAGGCAGCAGUGGGGAAUUUUCCGCAAUGGGCGAAAGCCUGACGGAGCAACGCCGCGUGAGGGACGAAGGCCUCUGGGCUGUAAACCUCUUUUCUCAAGGAAGAAGAUAUGACGGUACUUGAGGAAUAAGCCACGGCUAAUUCCGUGCCAGCAGCCGCGGUAAUACGGGAGUGGCAAGCGUUAUCCGGAAUUAUUGGGCGUAAAGCGUCCGCAGGCGGCUUUUCAAGUCUGCUGUUAAAGCGUGGAGCUUAACUCCAUCAUGGCAGUGGAAACUGAAAGGCUUGAGUAUGGUAGGGGCAGAGGGAAUUCCCGGUGUAGCGGUGAAAUGCGUAGAUAUCGGGAAGAACACCAGUGGCGAAGGCGCUCUGCUGGGCCAUUACUGACGCUCAUGGACGAAAGCCAGGGGAGCGAAAGGGAUUAGAUACCCCUGUAGUCCUGGCCG